rnacentral:rRNA from 1 species
AACGAACGCUGGCGGCGCGCCUAAUACAUGCAAGUCGAACGAGAAGCUGUAGCAAUACAGUUGUACAGUGGCGAACGGGUGAGGAAUACAUGGGUGACCUACCCUCGAGUGGGGAAUAACCAGCCGAAAGGUUGGCUAAUACCGCGUACGCUUCCCAGUCUACGGGUUGGGAAGGAAAGCGAUGCCGUGGGUAUCGCGCUCAAGGUUGGGCUCAUGUCCAAUCAGCUUGNGGUGGGGUAACGGCUCACCAAGGCAACGACGGGUAGCUGGUCUGAGAGGACGAUCAGCCACACUGGCACUGCGACACGGGCCAGACUCCUACGGGAGGCAGCAGUAAGGAAUAUUGCGCAAUGGGCGAAAGCCUGACGCAGCGACGCCGCGGUGGGGG